rnacentral:rRNA from 1 species
AGUGAACGCUGGCGGUAGGCCUAACACAUGCAAGUCGAACGGCAACACAGGAGAGCUUGCUCUCUGGGUGGCGAGUGGCGGACGGGUGAGGAAUACAUCGGAAUCUACUUUUUCGUGGGGGAUAACGUAGGGAAACUUACGCUAAUACCGCAUACGACAUACGGGUGAAAGCAGGGGACCUUCGGGCCUUGCGCGAUUGAAUGAGCCGAUGUCGGAUUAGCUAGUUGGCGGGGUAAAGGCCCACCAAGGCGACGAUCCGUAGCUGGUCUGAGAGGAUGAUCAGCCACACUGGAACUGAGACACGGUCCAGACUCCUACGGGAGGCAGCAGUGGGGAAUAUUGGACAAUGGGCGCAAGCCUGAUCCAGCCAUACCGCGUGGGUGAAGAAGGCCUUCGGGUUGUAAAGCCCUUUUGUUGGGAAAGAAAUCCAGCUGGCUAAUACCCGGUUGGGAUGACGGUACCCAAAGGAUAAGCACCGGCUAACUUCGUGCCAGCCGCCGCCGUAA